GGAGCCAAACAGAGAGGAAACAGGACAAGAAGGACACACAGGUCCAGAAGAGUGCCACAGAAAUGACCCAAGGGAUGGAACACCUCCCUACAAGGACAAGCUGAGAGAGCUGGGGCUGUUCAGUCUGGAGAAGAGAAGGCUCUGAGGAGACCUAAGGGCAACCUGUCAGUAUCUAAAGGUGGGCUACAAGAAAGAGGGGGACAGACUCUUUAGCGGGGUCUGUUGUGAUAGGAAAAGGGAAAUGGUUUCAAACUAAAAAAGAGGAGGUUUAGGUUGGAUAUAUAUAUAUAUUUUUUACAAUAAGAGCAGUGAAGCACCGGCACAGGUUUUCCAGACAGGUGGUGGAUGCCCCAUCCCUGGAGACAUUCAGAGUCCAUCUGGACAGGGCACUGAGCACCUGAUUGAGCUGUAGGUAUCCAUAGCAAGAGAGUUGGACCAGGCGGCCUUUAAAUCCUACUUCCAGCUCAAGGAAUUCUAUGAUUCUAUGAUUAUUCUCACAGUUUCAGGAACUCUGCCUAUAAGAUGCCUGUGUGCCACCUCAUCUUAUUCUUGCAAUGUGAUCUUCCUGUAUUUUUUACUCAUAACACCUCUCUGCAAGUUUUCAUUAUUUGUUCUUGAGGUAGUACUAAAAAUAUCUCUUUUUUUUCCCCUCUUCCUGAGCACUUUUUUAAAGAGAGCAGUUUUAUUUCUUGCCCUGAACCCAAUCUCGCUGGAGGGGCAGGAAGGAACAUGCUCACCUGUGUGUCCUAUCCCCACUCUCCACUGUCUGCUUUUGUCUCUGGUGCGGUUUCGCUUCUGCUGGAUGACACAUGAAGGCCAUGUGUGGCCCAGCAGACCAUCUGAACACAGAGGUACUUCAGUGGCUCAACUGGGACAUGUCUCUGCACAUCACACAUUCCCUGUUAGGAAUCAGGUCAGUUUGCACCAAACUGGAGAAAAUCCUGAAGUUGCAGAUAGUGCCCUUUGCUACAAGGCUGCCAUCCCUUUUCCCCUUCGAAACAGCUGAAACGUCUGAAAUAGCAGCUGUUGAAUUUAUUUUCCCUUUACACAGCCUCUUUCUAAGGGAAACUGGACUGAUUAGUACCCAUUUGCUGGGUUCUGCUGCAUUAUGACACUAACAUGUGGCAUCAUUUCAAACCAGGUGGGAUUUUCUUUAAAGCAAUCUUUGGUGACAAAAAAAAUAAUAAAAAAUAAGAAAAUGUAGUUUUAGCUAAGCAAAAUGCAUUUUAAUAUGCAUUUCCCACGGCCCUGAUGUGAGAUGUAUCUUCUAAGUGCAGUACAUCACCUCAUGUCAGCAGUUAGACUCGAUGAUCCUUAUGGGUCUCUUCCAACUUGGGAUAUUCUAUGACUCUAUGAUUCUGCUGCUGUGCUCACACACCACAUGCAGCAGCCAUCUGCAGCCUGAGCUUCUCCUCCUGCUCUAUCAUGAUGUCCAUCCGAGCCGGAGCAAUCCCCCAGCCCUACACCUCACAGCCCCAUCACACUGCAUCCCAGUGCACAGCAGUGGAAGGCAAGGGAGGGGCUUCAAAGGCGCUGGUCUCACAAUGGAGUUGGAGUAACUAGCUGCUGACAGAUUUAUAGGCUUCAGUCCAAUUAAAGUGCUGUUUAUUGCUUUUAGAAGGGGCCUGUUUGUUUCUAAUUUUAGAAGUAGGUUGGGGAAGUGACUAGAAUUGUGAGUAAGGGACCUGAGAUUUUUCACUAGGGCUUCUGGUGCUAUUCAUUAAUAGGAGUUGUUGAUAAUUAUUUAGCCUGGGACCUCAACCAACCACGGCAGGGCAGAAAUUCAGGGCAGCACCCAAAAAGCAGCGAAAGGGCUUUCCUUUGCUCCCCCUGCCCUGCUACAUCUGCUGAUUUUGGUGUGUGUUCGACCAGCCACUUUGUAAAGAGCUCCCCUUGUUCCCUAUGCAUCUCUUCCGCUCUCUCAAGUUGAUUCAUUUUAUGUGCUCCUUUUAAAGAGAAUAAAAAGUACGCCGGUGUGAAUGAUUGUUCCUAUCUCUGGCCAGCAGCGAUAGGAACCUUGGGCCAAUUGCCAGAAGGAAGUGGAGAAAUAACAAAUCUUGCCUGCGAGAUGAAAUCAGAGCUGGAAUCGGGAUUCCUGUGUUGUGCCCCUAAGUUUGCGCAGUUUUGCUGUACAGUGGUGGGAAGCCCCUUUGAUGUCAGCUUCCCACUGUCUAGAAAAGCUGCAAUAUAAAGUUAUUGUAAAACUUGGUUAUUUGUUUGUGCGGUACUUUGAGAGCCGCUGGUGAAAGGCGCUGGAUAACUGCGCGGUUCCCUGUGGUUUGUAAAACAUGCGUUGAUCACCAUUUACCAGAAGGCAAUGACAGUGGGUUUUUAACAGAGAGAGGCCCGACCCAGACACAGCACACUCAUGUUUCCAGGUCCUGGGGAAGUUUAUGUCCUGAACGUGCAUCCAAGCCCAGCGCCUGUGCAGAAGGCAGAAGGAAAACCACAUCCCAGUGUGCCAGCCUUGGGAUCGGGAGGUCCCAUCCUCUGCCGUUGGAGUUUGACCUGGAACUGGGGCAUCCCAUAAGAACUCAUCUUAGAUGGAGACAGCCAGAGCCCAGUGAGCCUCACCUUUCCUUCCUCUGCCCUGAGCCAUCUGCAAUAAUCCUUUAGCUGUGGGCCGAAGACAUAAGAAAUAAACUACAAUAAAAAAGAUAAAAGGGAGCAUAAAUUGAUUUCUGUGGUAGCUGAGGCUUGAAGUAUGCCUAAAUAUCACUUAGAUUGCACACUGUUUGGGCCGUGUGCCAUCCUUUUAUUACUUAUCCAUAUACAGGAGAUUUCAUUGAUGAUCUAUUAAAAAUAUAUACCUCUAUUCUGGUUGAAUCUAGAAAUUUUUUAGCUGAAAACAAGAAUAUUUGAGCUGAAACUGCUGUUUUUUGGUGUUUUUUUUUCCCCCAAACUGAAUUUCUUUUCUUUUCAAAAACAAGUAGAGCAAAGUAGGGUGUUUGGUUUUAAGUUCAAUAAAAGCAAUACUUUUCUUCUUCAGGGCAGUUUUUUGCCUAUAGCUAAUUUUUUUUGGCCAUGUCUAACAUACAGCAUCUCCUUAGAAAUCCAUCUUCCGUAAGCAGGAUUAUUACAGAAAAAUAGAAGUGUGUUGGGAUGCCAGGAGGGGAGAAUAUAAUCUCACCUUUUUCUUUUAUCCUAACAGACAGCCUCAGUGGGCUAAUAGCCAAGAGGGUCGAGGUAUUAAAGCACCCUGCACAGACCACAGCAGAUGGAAAAGAUCUGAGUUGGGCAAAAUGAUCGUUGCUGAAAGUUGCACUGUUACGUGAAACCAUUACAGGAGAGCAGAGCACCAGGAAAGGAGCAUCUUGCCUAUUGGACACAUUUUUGUGAUACUACAAAGGAAUUACUUGCGGUGUCAGUGAUGUAGAUUGCUUCUAGCACUCAAGAAAACCUUCCUUCUCAAAUGAGGGUUGGUCCUGUGGGUCACUCUUAGGAGAAUAUCUAAAAUCAGGCUAUUCUGCUGGACUCAGAGCAGCAGUCAGUGCUGUAGUUGGAAGAAGGCUGAGAACAUGUAGGAAUGGAAGCCCCAAGGGGCUUUGGCUGGGCAGCCAAAGGAAACCCAUCCCACUGCUGCCCUGUGCUUUCCAAGUAGUUUGGAAAGAUCUAACAUGAUGGAGCUGCAGAGCACCACCUGAGCUUUUGGUGGAGAAAAAGUCUCUAGGAUCCUCUCACCAGCUGUGAUUCAAAUAGACAGUAGGCAGGAGGAAGGUCAUACACGGGUUUUAUAGGUUUAGGAAUCUUUCAGCAUUAUCAAGCCAACUGCAUUACUUCAUGGAAUGAUUGGUCUUGUAUUCAUCAGAUGAAUGCUAAUAUUCAUAAACUUCUUCCUAGUCACUUUUAUUAUAGAAUAUGAUGAAAAUAAUAAAUACAUCAAAGGAACUUCCAGGACAUCAUUUGGGCUCCACGACUGACUCACUCUGCAACCUUGGGUUCUUAGUAAGACAUCCCAGGACCAUAUCUUUAAUGGAGAAUUAGCCUUCCUGUAGUCUCUGCCUGCCUCAGAACACCAAUGCUGCAAGCUGGGAACUGACAGCUGGAUCUGCAGGACACCAACUGCAUCUCUCUGCUCCUGAGACUUGGGGAGAGCCUUCAGGGCUGUGAUAAAGUAGAUGCAACUGAGGUGACCACCUGAUCUUUAAUCUUCUUGGUGAGUAAUUACCAAACUCAGAACAUCUGCACCAUGCAGGCACCAGUGGCUUUUUGCUGUAACAUCCCUUGGGAUGAGAGAUGAUGGCAUUGAGUUGGUCCAGGAAGGCUCAUAGACCUCAACAGUCUCCUUCAGCAUGACUCUGGGGUAAUGAAGAAACAGAAGUUGUGCAUCAGCAGGCUCCUGCACUGUUUGUCCCAUCUGCAAGCCCAGGCUCCUCCUGUCAUGUCUGGGAUGGCUGCAUCUGUGAAGAGUGCAUGGGACCACAAUCAGCCACGAUUCUCAUGUUGGGAUGCUCACAUUCAAGGUGAAGCUGAGGCCUGCAGGAAAUGGUAAUAAUGUGAGAUUCCAGCUGGAAGAAGCUUUCUUGCAGGUGAGUCUGGCAAGAGGCUCAGCGAGCAGCUGGAAGGAGACCAAGAGGAAAAGCAGAAGUGGGCAGGCUCCUGGAAGGCUGGGAAAGGUGGGCAUGUCACAUCACUUGCUAAGAGAGCCCCAGAGUGCUCUGAGAGUUGUGAAAAAAGAUAGAGACAGUUUUAGUCCAAAAUGUGUUCUAAAAAACAGCUAAUAUCAACUAGUUUUCAGCUGGUUCUGUCUGAGAAAAGAAAAAUUUAGAAGCCUAACUAAUCCAUAGCACUAAGAUUCUUACCUAACCUUUAAUUUCUUAAAAAUAACAGCAGGAAAUUAAUGGGAAAAUGUUAUUUUGCUGGUCAGAUAGAAGCAGAAGCAAGUAAAUUUUCUGCUGUGCUUGACUUCAGUGUUGGUUCAUCCAGUGCCACAGCCUCUGAGAAAGGAACUGAAAAAGAAUCUGACUACUUAGAAUCACAAUAGUGUUGAUGGACAUGUUCAUCUGUCAUAUUAAGGCUCCUCAUCAUCCCACAUUCAAUUCUUGGCCAGAUCCAGCAAAGGACAGAGGCAUCUGUGAGAAGAAUUUCAAUAGAAUUCCAGAGAAUUACAAUGGAAUUACACAACAGCACGGAAAAUUUAUUUCUUGUUGACAUGAAGAGUCUGUUUUUUGUUUUCCCACACUGCUGGAGGAUGGUAGCAGAAACAUUAAUGGAUGUGGAUCAGCAACAUCGCUCACAGACUGGGAGAGGAGGAAGAAUAUCCUGCCCUUUACCACUGAAGCUUAAUACCAACUUACAGACCAAUCCAUGGCACUCAUAUUCCUGUCAGCAGAUGUGGAUUUUCCAGCAGCAAAUAAGCCACUAAUGGUACAAAGUCUUUCUCAACAUGGUGUAACACUUGACCAACCCAGGCCAAAAAAUGAAGUCAACUCAUGCAUGUUACUGUAUCACAUCAGGCCAAAGAGCUUUGUCCUUCUGUCACCUAGCAAGGACUGUGUAUGGGGGACUCUUGUGUGUAUGUGUUACAAACCACUGCUGGUCACAUUAACAGAAUAAGAAACCAGAAACAUAAUGGAGGUCAAGUAUGAAGUGUUGUGAGCCUCCAAAUGUAGAGGUCAGGCAUACAAUGAAAACAACAAAACAAAAUUGUAAUGCUAGUUGCAAGCUGCGUGGAUAAUCAAUACCAGAAUGUGAUUCCUUUUAAUCAGGGGUUAUUUUAGAUGGCAUCAGAGGGGAAAAAAAAAAUUAAGUCUAAAUUUGCUAAUUGGGAAGUUGAAAUCCAUGGCUGACAGCAGGCUCCCAGGAAAGAAGUAGGUUGCAUGCAGUAAGAGUAGUGUUCAGCAACAAGGUCACAGCAGUUAGAUCACCAGUGAGAUAGAAGUCCACACUAAGGUAAUUCUUGUGAAUUCUUUUAUAUGCUCGAAGCAGAACAAGGAUAUUGAAGUGUCCUAUCUGGAGGAUUCUCUCCGUGGCACAGCACUCAUAAAUGAAAGCUCUCUGAUCUCAGCCUCUGAAUUGAACCAACAGCUAUCCUAGGCCUAGUAAGAUGGAAAGGCAGCUAUUUCCCAGAACUUGAAUGAUAUCCCCCUCAAAAAGUAUUUGAGCAACUGUUCUUUUGCAUUAAACUGUCCUCAGCUGAGGUGAGGUGGGUUAUUGUCAUAGUAGUGUGUGUGUGUGUGUGUAUUUUUUUUACCUAAGUUUUUUGAUGUCUCUGAGUUGCCUCUUGCCUCAGCACAUCCUUUGCAGCAGGCAGGGUGCUGGGUGAGCCAUUGGGCUGCAGUGUUCAGUCAUGCUGUUUUUCUCUACUCGCUGUGGAUGCUGUCAGUUGGCACGUGGAGGCUCUCUGUUGAUGAAUGAGUGCUGUGAAGCAGAUGGGAUGGAAACAGAGAUGUUAUUGACAUUCAGUCAGACCCCAGUGAGCAGCUUUUUGGCACCAAUGGGCUGAGACAUGCCCACUUUUUAAAAGCUGGUCUUUUUUCAUUGACAUGACCCCGUGUGACAGCUCCCUCUCCUGAGAUUUCUUCUGAUUUGAUUUAUGGAGUCUGAAUUUCAGCUGCAUGCUACUUGGGGCACAGACCGAUGUGAUGCUCCAUGUGAGGUGCCCAGACAAAACAACAGAUUUAAAAUGUCAUCCAGCAGCCCCAGAAAGACUUGUCAGAGCUGGAGGGGACAGAUUCAUUGCUUGCAGGCAAGGGGAAAUGAGGAAAUGCAGGAGUUGUGCUGUAGGAAAAUCUCCCCCUAAACUGCUUUCUCCCAUGUACGAUUGCCUAUGCUGAGCCUAUUCAAGGAGUCUUUGGGAAAUACCUAAGAGGAUUUUUCCUUUCAGAUUAAGUGAUUUCUGGAUGAUUUUACCCACAGCACAUCAGCAGGGGGUGAGUUUAGCUGCACUUUGCCUGCACCAGUGAAAGAGAGGCUCAUUCUUUUGAAAAUCAUCCACUAAAUUAAUGAAGACGUGAAUGUACAUUAGGCUGAACCUAUUUAGCUUAUUAAAGGCUCCUCUCUCAGAUCAUUUCCUUCUGUGUGUCUUUACAUCGCAGGCUCUUCUGUUUGUAAUUUCCAAAGUUAGGGAGGAAAAAAAAAAAGAUUGUAUUUUUUAAGAGGUUAUUCUCAGCUUUCAGCAGUCAGAAACUGUAUGUACAGUAGUCAGCCUGAAAUCCCAUAGGAAGAUGGAAGACCUCGCUGUGCUCAGUUAAUGCAGUAAUGAUGACUGUUGCUCUCUGCUCAAACAUAACUUGAGGUGAGUGCCACGAUUAACAAGGAGUAAGAACCUAAAUGAAAUGUCAAUUUCUGUUUUGUUGUGUUGAAUGAAUUACCAGGACCUUCAUGAUCUGAAACUUUGGCUAGGAUCAUUCUGCUCUCCUGGGGAAAAUAAAAUGUUUGGUCAGUGCCAGUUCCUUUGACUCCCAUUGUUUUCACUGGCUUUGGGAACAGAUCCUUAUUUUUGCUUUAAUUCUCUUUUUCACCCUUAUAGCUAAUGAAUAGAGUGAUGCAAGAAAUCUGCAAGGCAGUAUUGAAGGGAUGCUGCACUGAAGGAAAACAAGGAAGCUACUAAGAUUACAAGAAACUCAUUUUUUGAGGAUGGAAUGGGAAAAUAUUCUAUGAGAAUGUUGUCUUUGUGAAAGCUAAUUUGAGUGAUCUGGGUAUGGGAAGCUGAGGGUGGGGAGGUAGCGUGGGCCAUGAGUGCUCUUUUUCUUCACCUAUCUAUAGAUACUCACCUUUUCUGCUGCUACAGGGCUGAGAUUCCCAAGUACUUUCAUCAAGAUUUUGUGCUGCUCAAACCUAUUGCUCUGGUCAGAAAGACAAUGGCUCCUUCACUGCAGAGCCCAGAACUCCACUUAAGAUAUCAUGAUAUAUCGUUUAUGAAUCUGUAGAUAGCCCAGGAAUUAGGCCCCUUCCAACUGUUCCCAUUGACGUGAUGACAAAGUAUGACGUUCUUUUGCAUUCCUUAAGUACCUGCUGUACAUUUGUUGAGUAGAAUUAAAAAAGAGCUCUCCAGGCCUAUACGUGAUGAUGGGUGUCAAACAGCCUUGCUAGCACCCUGACUACCUGCAGUGUGGAGAAGUGGGAGCCUUCCUAAUUCUGCUCCCAGCUCCUCGCCUGCAGCAGCCCAUAUGGAACAGGAGAGCCAGGAGCUGGGCGCCUACUGCAGCUGCAGAGAAAGGCCUUUGCCUGCUCUGGAUGUCAUCUACAGUAUUUUGUAUUAAGGGAUCUUGCUUUGAUAACUUUUUACUUGUUUUUCCAUUUUUUUUUCUUUUUUUUUUCUCCCCAGCUACACUUCUGUCAAAUCCCAGUUUCCAUAUGAGGGUUUGCACCAAGUUGAGUGAAAGCACUAAGAUAAUCUAUUUGUAACAAAAUACUUUUCCUUUGCUUAAUAAACUUAGUGCUUCCCUGUAAAAACAAGCUCUUUAAUUACUCAGGUGUGGCUACUCACCGUAUUAAAUCACCACACUACCUCCUUAGCGUAGUAAUACAGUUCUUUACAAUUUCAUUUUAGAAUCACUCUUCUGUUGCUGACAUUUAAUUUUGCACAGGAGUAACACUAUCGUAAAAGAGCCCAGGUGCAAAAAUAUUAUGUUUUUAGCAUUGAUGUACUGUGCAUUACUAUUAAAAACUAGAAAAACUAUCAGUGCUGCUCCAUAUCAACUGGGAUUACUUAGCUUAAAUGUUUAAGAGGAACCAUUUAAGAGCUCUGUUGCAGUACAGGUGUCUGUGCACCUCUUCUACACCUGGCCAUUUGAUGAUACACUUUCAUAUGUGAGAUUUCAAACUUUCUCACAGGUAAAUAUAUAUUUUUUAAUGUUUCUGCUCAAAGUUGCAAACAAAGUUUUUUCAGUAGGGAAGAGGAAGAAUGAGUUGCAUGUUGAGUGAAUGCUAUUUUGUCAGGUUUGUAUCCAUAGUUUUUGGAUGAUGUUUUGGCUUCCUUAGGCUCUUCUAACAGUAGCAAUUACAACUGCAGUGGCUUGCAGUUCUUCUGUCUUCGUUUCUUGUGGUAGUGACUCUUUAUAAUAGAACUAGAAAGACCUUGAGUUUAACUGAAACCUGCAGCAAGAUGUGCUAGAAUUAAUCUUUCCAACCUUUGACAGUACAGUUUAAUAAUCAAGUAACCAGUAGCUAAGUGGUUAGGCAUAUACUUUCACACAUGGAGAAACCAUAACCUCCAGAGAAUGGUUCGUGUCAUUCUGAUGUAGAUUUUUUUAUAGAGUAGAAAACACCUUCAAUAAGGCUGCAAUGGGAGCACUGCGCUGCCAUACAACCAAAGCUCCAUUCCUCAGGCAGAAAAGUUGGAGAUAAAGAGGAGAAGCAGCAGUUUUCUGUCCUUUGCCAUUUGUCCAGAGCUCUGUUGCUUCCAGGUUUCUCUUUCAUCUCUUUUCUGUUGGCCUUGUAGCACAUCUGGAUCUCUGAGAUUUCUCUUCAUGUAAAUAUUGCCCUUAUUUUUUUCUCCUCGAUUUCUCUCAGAAAGUUUCUGCAUGUUCUUAUCUGCAGCUCCAAUCUCUGUUUGCUGCUCUUACUCUUGAGCUGCAAGUGGUUUGCAUGGUGGUUUCUCCUGUUGUGUUUUUAUCGGGCAUCCUCCAGUAACAAUCCUGCAUUCACCCUGUUUUGCCCAAGGUUCUGUUUACCUUCUCUAUCUGCUCUGGUCCUCAUGUUUUAAGGCUGUUGGAUUUCUCAUAAUUGCAAGGUUUGGGCCUCUUUCAAAUGAUUGGUUUUUUAUCUAACCGAGUGUACAUUUCUCUUUCCUCCUUUCAUUGGACUGUUCAUUUUUAAAACUCUUUUAAUCAAAUGAAAGGAAUUAAAAAUGAGGAGGGAAAACCCAAGAAUUUAAAUUCCAGUCUUUUUUUCUACCACAAAGAACCAAGAAUUCUUUCUAUUUAAGACAGUCACAGAUUUUUAUCAUUGUGACUGGUUUGCAUUAACUUUGUAAGUAGAAAGACAUUUAGCAAAGUUGAAAGCUGUCUCUUAUGUGAUGACAGACUUUGCCUGUUUUAGUAUUUUUACUGGUUAACUACCAAAUCCUGAGUCUACUGCUGUCUAUGGCCAACAUUUAGUGUUCACUAAAAGAAACAUGACUUAGAAAUAUAUCUUCCACACUAAGCUUUUGAAAACACACAGUAUUUUGAGUUAUAGAAACAACAGUUUUAAUACAUGAAAAGAUCUGUUACCACAAGGCCUUGAGAGAAAGAAACAGCAGAAAAGCGUGCAAAGGGUCAGGAAGAAAGCAUGAUAUGUAGUCAGCUGCUUCAUCUAUAUACAAGACAACCUAAUUAGUACUCAUGCAUGCAACUAAAGCAUCAUGAACUGGUUAUAUGGAUCAACAAACUGGUUAAACUAACAAUGGCACUAUGUUGGGAUGCAGUAACACCAAGUGGGAUUUUGUUUCUGGAAGUCAGGGCUCAGUUGAUGCCUGUUGAAACCCUAUAGGGUUUGCCAUCACUGCAGCACCAUAGCCUAUUUAGCAUUCAACAAAAGUCUCAGCUGGACUUUCCCAUUUCAAGUCACACAAGUCAGGUUUGGGUAGAUGACUGAGGGGAGAGAAAAGCUCCUCCAGUGUUCCAAUUCUUAUCUGUCUGGAUUUUUCUUUUUGCAGUUUCUUGGGAGGGGUUUUCUAAUACAAAAGUUCUCUGAUGUCCUUCUACGCUGCUGCUUCCUUUUUUACCUGACCUUGUAGGAUCAUCGAAUGUCCUGAGCUGGAAGGGACCCACAGUGAUCUUUGGGUCCAACUCCUGGCUCCACCCAGGACUGACCAAACAUCAGACCAUAUGACAGAGCUUCUUGAUGCUUCUUGAACUCCAGCAGCUUGAUGGCAUGGCUGCUGCCCCAGAGAGCCUGUUCCCAGAAAGGCUCCAAUAUUAAAGUUGAAAACACUUAUAGUGGGGCCCAUAGAUCAAACUCUAUUAAAUUCCAAAGGAACCUCAUUCACUGGAGUAGCUGUCUUAGAAGGCAACACAGGGUCUUACCUUGAGUUGUACCUCAUAUUCACUCUUGAGACUUUCCAAAGUCACCUGGAAGGCUGGGGACCUGCUGGUAGGCACCAAGCACAUCCUCAGGCUGCUGCUCACCAUCUUGGGCUGCCCUUGAGGCUCUGGGCUGAGGACUCUAAGAUGGGUUGGUCAAACCUAAUGUUAUUCAACCUCUCCUGCUCUAUAAGACCGCAACUUUGGCUUUCAGUCUUCUCUCUUGCUUCUACUCAGAUACAACUGUUACUAAUUGCACUCUUAGUUUAUUGUUGGAGAAAGCUUUCCCUAUUUAAUCGUUAGAAACAGGGAAUCUGUAAUGUAUUCAAAACUGCGAAAACUUAAUCCUGGUUAAUUUUUUACUCUCUGAGAAAAGUCAUUAUGACUGAUCUAUUCUUUCAAUCAAGUACACCCAUUUCGUUUAUUUUUAACAUUCCUUUCAUUAUGUUAUGAGCUUCUUAAGGAUAAUGGAAUAAUUGCUUGUCUCUUUGAUUGAUCUUUGUUUUGAAUGGAAACUUUAAUAGUGUUAUUUCUAGAGCAGGCUUACGGUAUAAUACAAUUAAAGGAAUACAUGACACUAAAACACUUUAAAGCACAUGUUCCAAUAAUUAGACCUACAAUCCUCGUCAGCCAGAGGACCAGGCAGGGAGGAGUUCCUGUUACAAAUUAUGAGGAAAGGAUUCGUGUUAUUUUGCUUAAUAAAGCAAAAAAAAUUAGUAAUGACAUUUAUUAAUAGCUGUAGCGAUCUGUGAACAAACUCCUUCUCCAGGCUGCUCUGGAAAGGCAUUCUCAUGCUACAGAGAAUCCCAAAUUCUGGUAUUUUACUUUUUAACACUAAAACAUGCCAGAAGUAUGGUAACUUGGGUUCUAAGUUCAUCCUGCGUGAAAGAUUUUGAGGUUCCUCACAUCUGAAAAUAUACAGUCCUCCUGGAUCUCCUUCUGCUGAAGACCCCUUCCAGCUGUUCCCUGACCUCUCAGCACCCCUGGUUCCCUGUCAUCAGGACCAGCACCUGGCCAAGAGCAUGGCUUCCUCUGCACUGCCUGAGUGCAAAGUGGAAGCUGACAAACUGCACAGAUUUGCAGGAAAAUUCCGGAGUGCUCCGAAAGUGAUGCCUCCUAUUUUAUUAUGUUGGCCCAUGAUAUCAGAGGCAGAUGACGGCAGUACAGCAGAGAAGGCUGAACCUCCCCAUCAAUAUUAAUUACAUUUUGUUGCUGUGUGAUGGCAGCAGAGGGCAGUCUGUCACAAUGACAUCUGACAUGUAGAAUCAUCUCACGGCAGGAGCCAUGUCCCCGUGCUGGACUCCCUCAUUUUGUAGAUGAUUUUGGUUUUAAAUUUUGGUUUUUUGGGAGAUUUUUUUAACCUGAAUUCCCAAUGACAAGACUGAGAUCCCAGGUAAUCACAUUAUUCAGUUUGUCUUGGUUUGUUUCAUUUUGGUUUUGCCCAGUUGCAAUUGUACUCGAUUUAAAUACUUGGGCUUUGGUAGAGAAGGAUAGAAGGGUGGAAUUUUUUUACUUCUUUGAAUUCUAAGCUCAAUCAUUUUUUCCUUAUUCAAGAUCAGGGCAUUAGGAAAUACUACUUCUCUGAAAGGGUGGUCAGGCACUGGAAUGGGCUGCCCAGAGAGGUGGUGGAGUCACCGACCCUGGUGGUGUUCAAAGAGCGUUUGGAUAUUGUGUUGAGGGACAUGGUUUAGUGGGAACCAUUGGUGAAGGGCGAAUGGUUGGACUGGAUGAUCCUGUGGGUCUUUUCCAACCUUAGCGAUUCUAUGAUUCUAUGAUCAGUGAGAUCACUUAGAGGCUCAUCAGCUUCAUUGGACUUCGCUGGGAACACAGCCUGUCUUCUGACAUGGAGGAAGGGAGAAGCAAGCUGGGGUGCUUGGGAUGCUCUGUGAGGAAGGAAAGGCAUUGUGGUGGCUCUUUCCAGGUGCUGAGUUUGUUUCCCAAGGAACCGAGCUGGAUCACCCAAUAGCUGCUACAUGGCAAAAUCAUUCAUUUUUAAUUCUAUGUGAUACCAGCAUCGUUAUAUUGUGUAUAGCCCAAUCCCCAGAUGGAAUGCAAUCAUGUUGUAGCUCAUUUUUAUAUCAGAUGAGGAUUCACUAGAGAUAAGACUCUUUAGCAUCCACCCACACGUGGUACUAACAGCGAGGAACCUGUUUCACAAUGUCUUACAGCAUGGUGCAGUAACUUGAGAAGAACAGUGAACUUAAGUGAACCUUGAGAACCUAGGUGAACAGGGGAGAUCUAGUUAAUACUCUGUACUUUUCCAAGCUGGAAUUAUGGCUUUUAACAUCUCUGUUCUUGAGAGGCUGGGCAGCUGGCUGAAGCUGGCCAGCAUUACUUUUGAAGUAUGGAUCUUCUAUUCCUAUCAGACAAGUCAAGGCUACAGGCACAUCUAACAAGCAACUCAAGCCUGGAACUAUCUGGAUUUCUAAGUUCAUGAUGGAAAAGGGUAUUGUCCUUGUUUUUCAGGAUGCUUAUAAGCCUACGUUAGUAAACACAGAUGAUGGCAAUUAAGGCUUUGGGAGAAUCUUGGCAUGUUGGAACUGACCGCUUUUCUGAUUGAGAACUGAGAUAGUGGGAGAACCCUUUAUCCCCUGGUUGAGUAAGAACAUCUUGAAUCUGUUUAUGUGUGUAUGAAAAAAAUUAAUUAAACCUCUACGGGCCGGAUUCCUCAAGGAUGAUAAAUGCUCAGCUGGCUUUAGGAUCCUGCACAAAAGUAUGAGUUAACCUGGUGAGCUUUUGGAUUUCAGAUGAAACUGAGGGGCAAGGCUAUGCGGCACACACAGUGAAACGUCACCACUAGGAGGUCACAUUCUUUCCAUGUACAGAGCUGGCGAAAGCACCCAGUUGGGUGCUUUCUGCUUUGUGUUAUUAAUAAAUUCAACAAAUGUUACCCCUCUUGUGCACUGAUUUGAUGUCCCAGCACUCACCCAUCCACGUUCCCUGGAGAAUGGGAGCUGAGGAAGGACCCUCAGCUUAAUGGAGACACAGUGUUGUUCAAGUUUUGAGUUGCUUGAAUGAUUUGUGUUUUCUCUCUCAUCGCACCAUUCCCUAUAGAGCAAGAUGCUGAUGAUAGUUAUUUCCUAGAGGCAGGAUUCAAAUGCCUUUCCCCAGGGAGAGCUGAACCUGCAUCUCCCACAUCUUGGCUGAGUGCCUUAAGUACUUGGUAAAAGAUCUGGAUAUCCUCUUCAGUGCUGUAAACCUGGGCCAAAAAUAGUUUUCAGCUGCAACUACAUGACUAAUUUGACCUGAGACUACUUUUGUGGGGCAAAUGUUUUAUUCACAGAAGAAAAAUACUUGCCCUCCCCUAUGAAGAAGAUAGAAGGGAGAAAGCUGUGCGACAGGAAAUGAGUCAUAAGAUCUUAUAGACAACGUUAGGACUUGACACUAAUACACAGCACCUUUUCCCAAGCUACAGUUGAAAAACUCAGAGUUCUCCUCCCCAUCUCCUCUCACACAUAACUACGUCGAUGCUUACAUGUUGGUUUUCAGGAUAUCUCAAAGUCAUUACCAUACUUCCGGAAAACAAAGUGAGGUAAUGAUUAUGUACAUUUUAUAGCUGCAAACCCAGAGAGACGGUGCAGGUACAUGUCUGAAAUACACAAUGUCCUUCCAAAAAAAACCAUCACCAAAAUAUGUAAAAUAUUUUGCUUCCUACUCCUAUGUAUCACAACAACAGCUUAUGGGUGGUGUGGGGGUUGGGAAAGAGGAACAGAGCUUAAACUACCACUUUGGAACACCAAUUUCUCAGUUUGUUUCUGCUACAUCGAUGCAUUCAUAGUUUCACAUCACGAGCUGAGAAGUUUGCAAAGCACUUUGUUCUGUGCUGCUUCGGUGGGUGGAAGUACUGGUUCUAGGUUUUAAAAGGCAUUUCAAGUUAGGCUCCAGACAUGAAUAAAUAAUCCAAUUUUCACAUUUGCUAUUCAGCAGCUUCUCAUAGCAUAUGUAGUUGCAGCUGCAGGGCCAACAUUUUUGUAAGUCAGGAUACUUACUCAGGGACUUGAAUGCAGGCUUGAGAUGAGGAUUUGCAAAGGGAGCUAGGUGCCCAGUUUCUAUUGAGAAAAGAUUUAGGGGCUUCACGAGCAUAACUUAUAGGUGUCCAUUAGGAAAAUCUCAGCUUUGCUGUAAAUGCCUCUGGAUUCCUUAGAUUUCAUUCAUUUGGCAGCCAGGCACCUAGCUCUUUUGUACAAUCUGAAAGAAAUUUGCAGAGUUCUGUAUAACUUCUGUAGUCUUUCUCUGGAAAAUGAAUAAAUCAUUCAAAUGGAAAUACUGAAAUAGCUGGGCACGUAUCCAGAUACAGUAUGCCUAGCUUAGUGGCAAAAACUUACGGCACACAUCCUGUAUUGUCAAGGACACUGAAUGUUUUGGCUGCCCUAAUAGAAAAACAAUAAUUCAAUCAUGUAUUAUAAAGGAAUUUCCUGGAGACGUUUGGCUUUGCUCAAUCACCCUACUAGAUUUGUUCUUAAUGUGGAAGAAUGGCCCGUUACAUUCAUUACAUACAUUAGACCGGCUAUGUUUAUUUCUAGAUGGGUUUCCUUAAGGUUGUUGAAGUGCCUAACAAAUACAUUCUGAAGAUGCCUUUAUACGUAAUAACAACAGCACUGCCUUGCACCACUGCAUGCUCAGUAAUUGUUUCUCACAGUGGAGGGGCACAUCUAACACAACUAGCUGUGAGUACUUCAUAAAUCAACAAUAACAGACCCACGGGGCGAGGAUCAUUGUUUCGUUUUGCUGACAGGGACCCACAAUACAUUGGAUAUUACGCAGAGACAAGAGAGGAUGUGUGAGAAGAUAGUUAUGCUAAUAGACACUACUUCCCCCCUUCCCCUCUGGAAGGGAACAUUCCCUUAACAUUACACAAGUCGAUGUGUCCUCAGCUGUUCC
rnacentral:lncRNA from 1 species